rnacentral:rRNA from 1 species
UGGGGAAUAUUGGACAAUGGGCGGAAGCCUGAUCCAGCCAUGCCGCGUGUGUGAAGAAGGCCUUUUGGUUGUAAAGCACUUUAAGCGAGGAGGAGGCUACCUAGAUUAAUACUCUGGGAUAGUGGACGUUACUCGCAGAAUAAGCACCGGCUAACUCUGUGCCAGCAGCCGCGGUAAUACAGAGGGUGCGAGCGUUAAUCGGAUUUACUGGGCGUAAAGCGUGCGUAGGCGGCUGAUUAAGUCGGAUGUGAAAUCCCUGAGCUUAACUUAGGAAUUGCAUUCGAUACUGGUCAGCUAGAGUAUGGGAGAGGAUGGUAGAAUUCCAGGUGUAGCGGUGAAAUGCGUAGAGAUCUGGAGGAAUACCGAUGGCGAAGGCAGCCAUCUGGCCUAAUACUGACGCUGAGGUACGAAAGCAUGGGGAGCAAACAGG